UUUCUCAAGCCCCGCCCCUUCCGCUCUCUGGCGCCGCCCCCAGGCCGGAGCUGGGCGUGGCGGCGGCGCCGGUGCUGCAGGAGCAGGUCCAGGUGUGCCGGGAGCUGCUGGAGCUGGAGCCCCAGAGCCGCGGCUGCCUGCUGACCCUGGCUCUGCUUUUGGCCGCGUUGGAUCCUCGGGGCGGCGCCCGCGAGAUCCGGGAGCACCUGGGGAGCCUGCGGGCCGCGGACCCGCUGCGCUCCGGCUUCGUGGCCCAUGUCCAGUCGCGCUUCGAGGCGGCGCUGGCCGUGCUGGGAGCGGGGCAGGAGCUCAGCCUGGCCAGCAAGG